CCUACGGGGUGCAGCAGUGAGGAAUAUUGGUCAAUGGGCGCGAGUCUGAACCAGCCAAGCCGCGUGAGGGAAGACGGUUCUAUGGAUCGUAAACCUCUUUUAUACGAGAGUAAAGUGUGGGACGCGUCCUAUUUUGUAUGUACCUUAUGAAUAAGGAUCGGCUAACUCCGUGCCAGCAGCCGCGGUAAUACGGAGGAUCCGAGCGUUAUCCGGAUUUAUUGGGUUUAAAGGGUGCGUAGGCGGUCGGAUAAGUAAGCGGUGAAAGUCUGUGGCUCAACCAUGGAAUUGCCGUUGAUACUGGGGGGCUUGAGAGUGUUUGAGGUAGGCGGAAUGUGUGGUGUAGCGGUGAAAUGCUUAGAGAGCACACAGAACCCCGAUUGCGAAGGCAGCUUACCAAGCUAUGACUGACGUUGAUGCACGAAAGCGUGGGGAUCAAACAGGAUUAGAUACCCGAGUAGUC
rnacentral:rRNA from 1 species